ACGGCUCAGUAACACGUCGGUAACCUACCCUCGGGAGGGGGAUAACCCCGGGAAACUGGGGCUAAUUCCCCAUAGGCCUGAGGUACUGGAAGGUCCUCAGGCCGAAAGGGACUUAUGUCCGCCCGAGGAUGGGCCGGCGGCCGAUUAGGUAGUUGGUGGGGUAAUGGCCCACCAAGCCGAAGAUCGGUACGGGCUGUGAGAGCAGGAGCCCGGAGAUGGACACUGAGACACGGGUCCAGGCCCUACGGGGCGCAGCAGGCGCGAAACCUCCGCAAUGCGGGAAACCGCGACGGGGGGACCCCGAGUGCCGUGGCAACGCCACGGCUUUUCCGGAGUGUAAAAAGCUCCGGGAAUAAGGGCUGGGCAAGGCCGGUGGCAGCCGCCGCGGUAAUACCGGCGGCCCGAGUGGUGGCCGCUAUUAUUGGGCCUAAAGCGUCCGUAGCCGGGCCCGUAAGUCCCUGGCGAAAUCCCACGGCUCAACCGUGGGGCUUGCUGGGGAUACUGCGGGUCUUGGGACCGGGAGAGGCGGGGGGUACCCCUGGGGUAGGGGUGAAAUCCUAUAAUCCCAGGGGGACCGCCAGUGGCGAAGGCGCCCCGCUGGAACGGGUCCGACGGUGAGGGACGAAGGCCAGGGGAGUAAACCGGAUUAGAUACCCGGGUAGUCCUGGCUGUAAAGGAUGCGGGCUAGGUGUCGGGUGAGCCUCGAGCUCGCCCGGUGCCGUAGGGAAGCCGUUAAGCCCGCCGCCUGGGGAGUACGGCCGCAAGGCUGAAACUUAAAGGAAUUGGCGGGGGAG
rnacentral:rRNA from 1 species